ACUUCCAGGUCAUCCCUUUAAGCUUCAGCAGAAACCUGGACCACUUCAAUCCAAACAUCCCAGAGUGGAGAGAUGACAUCGGCCAGGUGGUCAACAAAAUUCUGACUAAGAUCACAGGCAUACCUCUGGAGUCUCUGGUAACUGUGGUGAAACCAGGCCUUCCCACCCCUGCAGACCUAUAUGUCCUCCCACUGGACAGCAAACCAGACAAGAGGAGUGUCUUUGUAGAUAAGCAUAUUCCAGCCAUCGUGCAGGCUUUCAAUGACAAAAACGUCAGCUUCAUGGUCCGAGGCGGUCAGCGAGUGUUGGUGAUGCUAGCUGACCCGAAUGCAGGUAUGCUGAAAUGCUCCAGUAUGGUCCGCUUUUUAAAACUGUCAUUAAAUAUUUAAAUGGUAACUGCAUGCUAUUGAUUUAUUUCCAAUGAAUAGGUCUAAUUGCUAAUGACUCAUCACCUUCAACAACAGAAAAUGGCUACCAUGGAGCAGCUGGAGGUCCGGGUGUUUGGGCUCUCGCUGUCAUUUUCCUAAUCAGCAUAAUUGCCACCGGCUCCUUCAUCCUUUACAAGUUCAAAAGAAAGCUUCCUGGAAGCCGCAACGUCUACGCCCAGAUGCACAAUGAGAAGGAGCAGGAGAUGACCAGCCCCGUAAAUCACAGCGAAGACACGCAGCACAUCAUCCAAGGCGAGGAGUUCAUCGACGACGACCUGGACUCGCAGACUCUAGGUAACGCAGGAGGUAGCCCCGCCUUCCGAUCCCUUAUAAGGACUACCACUAACCACUGCUACUAAAACCCAAGCCACUAACACCAGCAGCUAACACACACCAAGGCAACCACUCAGGUGUGGUCCUGAGCAUCAACUCCAGAGAACUACACAGUUACCUGACCAGCUGAUGGCUGCCAUGGCAACACUGAUGAGCUAGCCCAGCCUAGCCGAGCCAGCUAAUGAGCACAGGGACUCUGCCUUCUUCCUCCUCUUUUUUUUUUUUUUUUUCUGUCCCCACCCUCUCUUCUCCCUUGGACACUUCACCUCCACUCCAUGGCCUCCUCAACCCCUCAACUU